rnacentral:rRNA from 1 species
CAGUCGCCGCGGUAAUACGUAGGGUGCAAGCGUUAAUCGGAAUUACUGGGCGUAAAGCGUGCGCAGGCGGUUCGUUAAGACAGAUGUGAAAUCCCCGGGCUUAACCUGGGAACUGCAUUUGUGACUGGCGGGCUAGAGUAUGGCAGAGGGGGGUAGAAUUCCACGUGUAGCAGUGAAGUGCGUAGAGAUGUGGAGGAAUACCGAUGGCGAAGGCAGCCCCCUGGGCCAAUACUGACGCUCAUGCACGAAAGCGUGGGGAGCAAACAGGAUUAGAUACCCGUGUAGUCCCUGUCUCUUAUAC